AUUGAACGCUGGCGGCAGGCCUAACACAUGCAAGUCGAACGAGUGGCGGACGGGUGAGUAAUGUCUGGGAAACUGCCUGAUGGAGGGGGAUAACUACUGGAAACGGUAGCUAAUACCGCAUACCAUCAGAUGUACCCAGAUGGGAUUAGCUAGUAGGUGGGGUAACGGCUCACCUAGGCGACGAUCCCUAGCUGGUCUGAGAGGAUGACCAGCUACACUGGAACUGAGACACGGUCAAGACUACUACGGGAGGAAGCAGUGGGGAAUAUUGCACCAUGGGCGCAAGCCUGAUGCAGCCAUGCCGCGUGUAUGAAGAAGGCCUUCGGGUUGUAAAGUACUUUCAGCGGGGAGGCGUUACCCGCAGAAGAAGCACCGGCUAACUCCGUGCCAGCAGCCGCGGUAAUUC
rnacentral:rRNA from 1 species